AGUGGGGCAUGCCCAGUUGAGACUCCAUUUGCCCUGAGCAGAUUUCCUGAGCCUCGGGCAACCAGCUUGCAAUGAAUGCUCCUCUUGUCCCUUGCUGCCUGUCUGCUGGGAAGUCCAAGAUCAAGACACUAGCAUUGGUGUCUGAUGAAGGCUGCUGUCUGCUUCCAAGAUGGUGUCUUGUUGCUGCUUCCUCCAGAGGGAUGCAUGUGUCCUCACAUGCAGGAAGAUAGAAUGGUUCCUUUAAUUAACUCAGACCUGGAUGACAUAAAAUGAAGUUUCUGAAGAAGUUCAGGUCAAAGGUUCCUGAAACACAAGGCUCAGUGUGUACCCUGGAUGGGAAAAUGAACUGGUGUUGACAUAUAUGCAUGCCCAGGAGGAAGACUGGGAAAGACUUAAUGAGUUGGAGUAUGCAGAGAA